GCUUAUGGCCAUACCACCCUGAGAACGCCCGAUCUCGUCUGAUCUCGGAAGCUAAGCAGGGUCGGGUCUGGUUAGUACUUGGAUGGGAGACCGCCUGGGAAUACCAGGUGCUGUAAACU
rnacentral:rRNA from 1 species